UUAAGUUCAGCGGGUCUUCCUACCUGAUCCGAGGUCAACCUUGGGUAAAUAAGGCUGAUUGACGGCACGGACCGCAGCACUCCCAGAGCGAGAUGUAACUACUACGCUCGGGGUGACAGCGAGCCCGCCACUGGUUUCAGGGCCUGCGGCAGCCGCAGGUCCCCAACACAAGCCGGGGGCUUGAUGGUUGAAAUGACGCU
rnacentral:misc_RNA from 1 species